GUUGUGGUUAAGUGGUAAACGAUGUGGGAAGGCUUAGACAGCUAGGAGGUUGGCUUAGAAGCAGCCACCCUUUAAAGAAAGCGUAAUAGCUCACUAGUCGAGUCGGCCUGCGCGGAAGAUGUAACGGGGCUCAAACCACACACCGAAGCUGCGGGUGUCACGUAAGUGACGCGGUAGAGGAGCGUUCUGUAAGCCUGUGAAGGUGAGUUGAGAAGCUUGCUGGAGGUAUCAGAAGUGCGAAUGCUGACAUGAGUAACGACAAUGGGUGUGAAAAACACCCACGCCGAAAGACCAAGGGUUCCUGCGCAACGUUAAUCGACGCAGG
rnacentral:rRNA from 1 species